rnacentral:rRNA from 1 species
GACGAACGCUGGCGGCGUGCUUAACACAUGCAAGUCGAACGGAAAGGCCCUGCUUUUGUGGGGUGCUCGAGUGGCGAACGGGUGAGUAACACGUGAGUAACCUGCCCUUGACUUUGGGAUAACUUCAGGAAACUGGGGCUAAUACCGGAUAGGAGCUCCUGCUGCAUGGUGGGGGUUGGAAAGUUUCGGCGGUUGGGGAUGGACUCGCGGCUUAUCAGCUUGUUGGUGGGGUAGUGGCUUACCAAGGCUUUGACGGGUAGCCGGCCUGUGGGGGUGACCGGCCACAUUGGGACUGAGAUACGGCCCAGACUCCUACGGGAGGCAGCAGUGGGGAAUAUUGCACAAUGGGCGGAAGCCUGAUGCAGCAACGCCGCGUGCGGGAUGACGGCCUUCGGGUUGUAAACCGCUUUCGCCUGUGACGAAGCGUGAGUGACGGUAAUGGGUAAAGAAGCACCGGCUAACUACGUG